rnacentral:rRNA from 1 species
GACGAACGCUGGCGGCGUGCUUAACACAUGCAAGUCGAACGGAAAGGCCCUGCUUUUGUGGGGUGCUCGAGUGGCGAACGGGUGAGUAACACGUGAGUAACCUGCCCUUGACUUUGGGAUAACUUCAGGAAACUGGGGCUAAUACCGGAUAUGAGCUCCUGCUGCAUGGUGGGGGUUGGAAAGUUUCGGCGGUUGGGGAUGUACUCGCGGCUUAUCAGCUUGUUGGUGGGGUAGUGGCUUACCAAGGCUUUGACGGGUAGCCGGACUGAGAGGGUGACCGGCCACAUUGGGACUGAGAUACGGCCCAGACUCCUACGGGAGGCAGCAGUGGGGAAUAUUGCAAGAUGGGCGGAAGCCGGAUGCAGCAACGCCGCGUGGGGGAUGACGGCCUUCGGGUUGUAAACCGCUUUCGCCUGUGACGAAGAGUGAGUGACGGUAAUGGGUAAAGAAGCACCGGCUAACUACGUG